GCCCAGCCGUAAACUUUCAAUUACAUCCGAACCGCCUGGGAACUACGAGCAAGGCUUAAAACCCAAAGGACUUGACGGUACCCCACAUCCCCCUAGAGGAGCCUGUCCUUUAAUCGAUACCCCCCGUUUAACCUCACCACUUUUAGCCUCUCAGCCUGUAUACCUCCGUCGUCAGCUUACCGCAUGAGCGAACCAUCAGUAAGCCCAAUGGUCCCCCACCAAUACGUCAGGUCAAGGUGCAGCAAAUAAAGUGGGAAGAGAUGGGCUACACUUUCUAAAAUAGAAAACACGAAAGACUUCAUGAAACCAGGUCAAAAGGUGGAUUUAGUAGUAAGAAGGCAUUAGAGUGCCCUUCUUAACCCGGCACUGGGGCGCGUACACACCGCCCGUCACCCUCUUCAAAGCUAAACGACAGUUUUUAACACAUACUCGCGCCACAGAAGAGGCAAGUCGUAACAUGGUAAGUAUACCGGAAGGUGUGCUUGGCAAC
rnacentral:rRNA from 1 species